rnacentral:rRNA from 1 species
UGGGGAAUCUUGCACAAUGGGGGAAACCCUGAUGCAGCGACGCCGCGUGAGCGAUGAAGGUUUUCGAAUCGUAAAGCUCUGUCCUAUGGGAAGAUAAUGACGGUACCAUGGGAGGAAGCCCCGGCUAACUACGUGCCAGCAGCCGCGGUAAUACGUAGGGGGCGAGCGUUGUCCGGAAUUACUGGGCGUAAAGGGUUCGCAGGCGGCAUGGCAAGUCCGAUGUAAAAGGCGAAGGCUCAACCUUCGUAAGCAUCGGAAACUGUCAAGCUUGAGUGUAGGAGAGGCAAGUGGAAUUCCUAGUGUAGCGGUGGAAUGCGUAGAUAUUAGGAGGAAUACCGGUGGCGAAGGCGACUUGCUGGACUUCAACUGACGCUGAGGAACGAAAGCGUGGGUAGCAAACAGG